AUCAUCAGCAGCAAAUUAAGCAGCACCAAUUCAAGGCAGCAGGGCUUCAGCAGCACCAUGUCCAAGCAGCAGUACUUCAGAUAGGGAGUCCAUUGUUUGUGACAAGUCUUCAAAACCUCAAAAUGAACUAGUCAACCAUUUCACAAAAAUGCCAUAGAAAAGUCUUAAAGAGCUACAAAUGCAGUUCUACACAGUCUCUAUACAAAAUGAGAGGGAAAAGUUCAAGCUCAUACAAGAACAGACAGCCUUAUGCAGAGAACUUAGAGAGAACAUUCCGAAGUUGUCCUUAGUCUUGGAUGCAUUGUGUACGAAAAAAGAGAUGAAGAAUGACUUUUAUAUUGACUUGAAUACAUUGUUUGCUUGUUUGACAAUUUAAAUUUUAUAUGUACUUGUUUCAGUAUAAGCUAGUGCUCAACAUUAAUAAAAAAAAUCU
rnacentral:lncRNA from 1 species